GAAAGCUUCAUUCUCAGUUUUCAGCUCCGUCUGACAGCAGCUCUAAGACACUGCAACUGGGGACUCCAUGCUGCUCAGCAUUAUUUGGAAGCCCAGCAAACCAAUCCUAUUGCUGUCAGGGAGGAAUUGGGAAGCGGAGAAUACAAAAGAAAAUCCAUGGUUUAAUCUUUCAGAAAAAAAAUUCUUCACAUUUUGAAAUCUAUCCAGUAGAUGUCAGAAUGAUACCCUACCCAUCAGGAAUUGAAACCAAGCAUGUGCCUUGGAGAGGAAUGCCUCUCUAAGUGAUGCUAUUAUGCUCUCUGUGACAAAGCCUUUUCUGUCAGUCCAAACAGCUUCUGGGUGCGCAGUGGAGUGACCCAGACUGUGAUCGCAGGGGACGCGGGGCUGGCCCUGCGCACCGCGGCGGGGAAGACAGCCCACAGGACUCGGAAGCUUGGAGAACAGAGCCCCGGCCUCAUCCCAUUUUCCGGAGUUUGAGGUGACCAUUUACCUGCUCAAGGGGAAUGUUGGGGAGAGCAACAAAUGCUUAUAAAACGGUGCAGUGAUGCAGACUGCUCUACUGCUGAUGGCGUUAUUGGCGGAGCCUUUCUUUGUGCUCAGACAUACAAAUAUGAUUAGAAAAGGUUCCAGGGACCAGCUUUACUUGCCAUCCAACUCGGUUAAGAUUUUGAUAAUUAAGCAAAUGUAUAAACUUAUCAUGUAGGUUUGAUUUAGAUAUGAGUAUAUAUUAGCAAUACAUUAGAAGUCUUUUCUAGAACAUGAGACAACAUUUAGUUUUAAAAAUCUUUUUGAAACAUAUUAAUGCUGACCAUUAUAAUGCACUCUAAUGCAAAGGAAUCAAUAGCCUUUACACCACAGUUAGUUUAUUGUACACAGCCAAUGAAUAAUACAAAAUUCAGUGCACUUAACAGCCCCAUAUUGGACUUCACAAUUUGUAUAAAUCAGAAUGCUUUUUGCAUUUCCUGAAAGAUAGUACCACAAGUUGUACUUGAAACAGAAACCUACUAUUUAUUCUUUAACCAAUUAAUUGUUUUUUUCUUAAAUAAAACAUUUGCAAUCAAUUUUCAUCUUUUUAUAAAACAUCUGCCUCUUCAAAUAUUUGCUAUGAACCAGGUUCCUGAAUUUGUUGCUAGAACGCAAUGGAAUUGUUCAUACUGUAAAUCUGAAUUACAGGAAUUACACCGUUAUUUACAGGGAAAGCUACCUCAGAAUAUAUUUCAUAUUGCUCUUGCAGGUAGUAAUUAAUAUGUGCUACAAUAAUAGCAAGAGUCUCAAGUCAAAUCAAGGCCCCUGCUGACUGGAACAAGAGAAAGAAAGUCUGUUUUAUUCUCCAGUUCUUCACUAUGCAUUUGACAAUUUUAAGUCCUGUGUUCAAGAGGUCUUACCUCAAGUUCCAUCUUUAUUUAUAUUGUCAGGAUUUUAACUUGAUUCUAGCACAAGAGGACAUUAUUUUGUGCUUCUGUCUACCCAGAAGGAAAUCACAUUAACAUUCCCAAGAAGAAAACUGAAAGUGGUUGUUUAUUUAUCUUAUUAUCAAUGUAUCCUACUUUUCUGAGUCACAAAGAGUAAACAAUUGGCUGGCUACUGUGUAACUAGGCUGGGGAAGAAUUUUUGU